rnacentral:miRNA from 1 species
AACAGGACUGAACAAUGUUUUGCUGCCCACGUUGUUCACACGUGUCAACAAUAUUGAACAAUGUUGUUGAGCCUGAAUCGGGUGUAACAAUAUUGUUGACAGUUAUGAACAAUGUGAGCAGCAAAACAUUGUUCAAUCCUGUU